AAAGCGAUCCAUAGUUUUGGGAGUGUUUCUGUUUGCUGUCCUUCCUCUGGUCUAUUCUUACUGCUUUCAAAGUCCAUACAAAAAUCCAGGUACAAAAUUUUGCCAGGAUGAUACAGAUAAAUCUUGGCAUCCUGUGGGUUCCACUUGGUGAAAUAGUAAAUACAUAAACUGCAGUUGUUCCGCAAAGUCAAUGAGUUGCUGUUCUGCAUAAAAUGGGGACUCCUACUGGUUUUUCUGACGAGUAAACAGUGGAGUACGAUUACACAGAAUGCUCUUCUGAAGUCUUUGACAAAAAAAAAACAUGUUCUCAUGGUUCAGUCGGUAAAUGAUCAUCAAAUUAAGGAUAAAGAUGUCAGGACUCUGUCCUUCCUGUCACGAGUUUCCUAACUCGCUGGACAGAGUUGUGACAGUAGGGCUACCAUGUCUUUGGGUUUUAUUGUGUUAUGUGUGGAGACACGUGGCUUUUGUUGUCACUUUGCGUCGUGUGUUCUCCUGUCUUUCAGCCCCGCCCCCCUGUCUUUAACAUAUGUGAAUUAAACAUUAUAUACAUGAAACAGUGA